rnacentral:rRNA from 1 species
UACGUAGGGUGCAAGCGUUGUCCGGAAUUAUUGGGCGUAAAGAGCUCGUAGGCGGUUUGUCGCGUCGGCUGUGAAAACCCGGGGCUCAACCCCGGGCCUGCAGCCGAUACGGGCAGACUAGAGUUCGGCAGGGGAGACUGGAAUUCCUGGUGUAGCGGUGAAAUGCGCAGAUAUCAGGAGGAACACCGGUGGCGAAGGCGGGUCUCUGGGCCGAUACUGACGCUGAGGAGCGAAAGCGUGGGGAGCGAACAG